rnacentral:rRNA from 1 species
UACGUAGGGUGCAAGCGUUAUCCGGAAUUAUUGGGCGUGAAGAGCUCGUAGGCGGUUUGUCGCGUCUGCUGUGAAAACUGGAGGCUCAACCUCCAGCCUGCAGUGGGUACGGGCAAACUAGAGUGCGGUAGGGGAGAUUGGAAUUCCUGGUGUAGCGGUGGAAUGCGCAGAUAUCAGGAGGAACACCGAUGGCGAAGGCAGAUCUCUGGGCCGUAACUGACGCUGAGGAGCGAAAGCAUGGGGAGCGAACAGG